rnacentral:tRNA from 1 species
GGGCCCGUGGUCUAGUGGCUAACUUUUUAUCUAAAAGAUAAAAUGUCUAUAAAUGACCCCGCCCUUACAAGGCGGUAGUCGCAAGUUCGAAUCUUGCCGGGCCCA